GGGUUGUGAGGUUAAGCGACUAAGCGUACACGGUGGAUGCCCUGGCAGUCAGAGGCGAUGAAGGACGUGCUAAUCUGCGAUAAGCGUCGGUAAGGUGAUAUGAACCGUUAUAACCGGCGAUUUCCGAAUGGGGAAACCCAGUGUGUUUCGACACACUAUCAUUAACUGAAUCCAUAGGUUAAUGAGGCGAACCGGGGGAACUGAAACAUCUAAGUACCCCGAGGAAAAGAAAUCAACCGAGAUUCCCCCAGUAGCGGCGAGCGAACGGGGAGGAGCCCAGAGCCUGAAUCAGUGUGUGUGUUAGUGGAAGCGUCUGGAAAGGCGCGCGAUACAGGGUGACAGCCCCGUACACAAAAAUGCACAUGCUGUGAGCUCGAUGAGUAGGGCGGGACACGUGGUAUCCUGUCUGAAUAUGGGGGGACCAUCCUCCAAGGCUAAAUACUCCUGACUGACCGAUAGUGAACCAGUACCGUGAGGGAAAGGCGAAAAGAACCCCGGCGAGGGGAGUGAAAAAGAACCUGAAACCGUGUACGUACAAGCAGUGGGAGCACGCUUAGGCGUGUGACUGCGUACCUUUUGUAUAAUGGGUCAGCGACUUAUAUUCUGUAGCAAGGUUAACCGAAUAGGGGAGCCGAAGGGAAACCGAGUCUUAACUGGGCGUUAAGUUGCAGGGUAUAGACCCGAAACCCGGUGAUCUAGCCAUGGGCAGGUUGAAGGUUGGGUAACACUAACUGGAGGACCGAACCGACUAAUGUUGAAAAAUUAGCGGAUGACUUGUGGCUGGGGGUGAAAGGCCAAUCAAACCGGGAGAUAGCUGGUUCUCCCCGAAAGCUAUUUAGGUAGCGCCUCGUGAAUUCAUCUCCGGGGGUAGAGCACUGUUUCGGCAAGGGGGUCAUCCCGACUUACCAACCCGAUGCAAACUGCGAAUACCGGAGAAUGUUAUCACGGGAGACACACGGCGGGUGCUAACGUCCGUCGUGAAGAGGGAAACAACCCAGACCGCCAGCUAAGGUCCCAAAGUCAUGGUUAAGUGGGAAACGAUGUGGGAAGGCCCAGACAGCCAGGAUGUUGGCUUAGAAGCAGCCAUCAUUUAAAGAAAGCGUAAUAGCUCACUGGUCGAGUCGGCCUGCGCGGAAGAUGUAACGGGGCUAAACCAUGCACCGAAGCUGCGGCAGCGACGCUUAUGCGUUGUUGGGUAGGGGAGCGUUCUGUAAGCCUGUGAAGGUGUGCUGUGAGGCAUGCUGGAGGUAUCAGAAGUGCGAAUGCUGACAUAAGUAACGAUAAAGCGGGUGAAAAGCCCGCUCGCCGGAAGACCAAGGGUUCCUGUCCAACGUUAAUCGGGGCAGGGUGAGUCGACCCCUAAGGCGAGGCCGAAAGGCGUAGUCGAUGGGAAACAGGUUAAUAUUCCUGUACUUGGUGUUACUGCGAAGGGGGGACGGAGAAGGCUAUGUUGGCCGGGCGACGGUUGUCCCGGUUUAAGCGUGUAGGCUGGUUUUCCAGGCAAAUCCG
rnacentral:rRNA from 1 species